rnacentral:rRNA from 1 species
CAGCCGUAAACUAUGCGCGUUAGGUGUACUGGUGACCACGAGUCACCGGGGUGCCGAAGGGAAACCGUGAAACGUGCCGCCUGGGAAGUACGGUCGCAAGGCUGAAACUUAAAGGAAUUGGCGGGGGAGCACCGCAACGGGAGGAACGUGCGGUUUAAUUGGAUUCAACACCGGAAACUCACCAGCAGCGACUGUUACAUGAAAGUCAGGCCGAUGACCUUACUAGAUUUUCAGAGAGGUGGUGCAUGGCGUCAGUGACU